CCGAGACCCAGCAAGAGGCUAAUACCAAUGGCUUUGCGUGCUCCGCUGAGGAUUGUUUUUAAUGACCGCUGGCCGGUUGCUGCUGUAAAUAGCGGAGGUAAAACAACGGAUGUCACUCAAGUGGAGUAACUUAAAGAUAAGACUGGAAAUGUUGCACUUAAAAACGGAGGGGAAUCUCAUGACGUGAGAAGGCGACGCCGAGUGAAUGGGUCAUAUAAUGUCAUGCUCCAUGAACUGUGCAAUCAG